rnacentral:rRNA from 1 species
AACGAACGCUGGCGGCGUGUUUAAGACAUGCAAGUCGAACGGGAUGAAGUUGUAGCAAUACCGCUUCAUUCAGUGGCGCACGGGUGCGUAACACGUGAGUUACAUGCCCUGCAGUAGGGAAUAGCCCGCCGAAAGGCGGAUUAAUACCCCAUGGUCCCGCAAGGGUAAAGGUGGCGCAAGCUGCCGCUGCAGGAUUGGCUCGCGGCCUAUCAGCUAGUUGGUGAGGUAACGGCUCACCAAGGCAACGACGGGUACCUGGUCUGAGAGGAUGAUCAGGCACACUGGAACUGAGACACGGUCCAGACACCUACGGGUGGCAGCAGUCGAGAAUAAUUCACAAUGGGGGAAACCCUGAUGGUGCAACGCCGCGUGGAGGAUGAAGGUCUUCGGAUUGUAAACUCCUGUCAUUGGAGAGUAAGACCUGGCGGUGAAUAGCCGACAGGGUUGGUAGUAUCCAAAGAGGAAGGGACGGCUAACUUCGUGCCAGCCGCCGCAGUAAAAC